UACAGUCAUAUCACGUUUAAACGACGGUUCUGGUACGAUCUCCGUAGUUAAGCAACGUCGAGACUAGUCAGUACCUAUAUGGGUGACCGCUUGGGAAUAUCAGAUGCUGCAAG